UUGGAGGGCAGUCUGGUGCAGCAGCCGCGGUAAUUCCAGCUCCAUAGCGUAUAUUAAGUUGUUGCAGUUAAAAAGCUCGUAGUUGAAUUUCGGGAUCAAUAUGUCGGUCGUGCCAUCGGUACGUACUGGUAUCAUUGGUCUCUCCUUUCUGACGAACCAUGAUGUCAUUAAUUUGGUGUUAUGGGGAGUUAGGACUGUUACUUUGAAAAAAUUAGAGUGUUUAAAGCAGGCAUUAGCUUGAAUACAUUAGCAUGGAAUAAUGAAAUAGGACGUUCGAACCUAUUUUGUUGGUUUCUAGGAUCAACGUAAUGAUUAAUAGGGAUAGUUGGGGGCAUUAGUAUUCAAUUGUCAGAGGUGAAAUUCUUGGAUUUAUUGAAGACUAACUACUGCGAAAGCAUUUGCCAAGGAUGUUUUCAUUAAUCAAGAACGAAAGUUAGGGGAUCGAAGACGAUCAGAUACCGUCGUAGUCUUAACCAUAAACUAUGCCGACUAGGGAUCGGAUGAUGUUAAUUUUUUAAUGACUCAUUCGGCGCCUUACGGGAAAC
rnacentral:rRNA from 1 species